UUCUCUCCCAAAGUGGAAGGCAAAUUCUUCACAUAAUUGAUGAAUUUGGCUUCCACUUUGGGAAGAGAGCCACCUUUAUCUAUACUUGCUUGCAUUUUUGC